ACUCUACUUCCUCGGUCAUAAAAUAAGUGUCAUAACUUUGUUCAAAAUUGGAUGUAUCUAAACAUAAACAAGUCUACAUACAUCCACUUUUUAAUUUUAUGUUUAGAUACAUCCAUUUUUUAAUAAAUUUAAGACACUUAUUUUGAGACGGAGGAAGUAGUAC
rfam:Triticum aestivum genome assembly, contig: Triticum_aestivum_CS42_TGACv1_scaffold_603867_7DL